GAACGUGGGAGUCUGUUGAUUCCAUCUCCGCUGAAGAUCUUCUCCCUGUCGUAAAGAAGCAAACUGCCGAGUUGUCGUCGUUGGAUGCAGGGCUCAGUCUCCGUAUCAUGUGACCCAGGGACGCAAUUGGAAACACUGGUUAUAUUGCCAACGCCUUGGCUAGAAUGCCAUUUGAGGCUCAGAUAUGACCACAGCUUUCAGGACUUUAAGGAACGAAGGUUGACAUUAUGGCGCCAAUAAAGCUCUUUGGAAAAACUACCUGAUACCUUGCUUACAAGGGUUCCCAGCAGCCUUACCAGCAAAAUCCUCAAUUAAGAUUUUGACGUGAGCCUUCUUAUCACCCUAAAAUCUGAAGAAUUCAAUGGACUGACUCUUUGUCAUCUGGUUGAACCCCACUGAGAGAAAAACUCACCUGUGAGGCUGCAGAUGCCAUUGCCAGCCUAGUCCACACUCAUCAAAGAUUCUACAAGUCAAAUUCAAAUGGCAUACUGGAAAAGUUUUUCUGCGCUUCAUGAUGGCUGGAGCCUCAGCUAGGAAAACUUGACUGCUGGGAACUGAAAUCAAGUGAAGGUGUCUUUAUUCACACAACUGGCAAUCAAGGCUGGCUGUUGGUUGGGACAUCAGCUAGACCUUUUGACCAGGCACCUACUUGUCUAUGCAUGUGCCUGGGCUUCCCCAGGGUAAUCAGGAUUUUUCCAUGGUAACUCAGUACUCCAAGAGGGAGUAUCUCAGCAUACAAGGCAGAAGCUGCAGUGCCUUUCAUGACCUAGCCUUGGAAGUCACAAAGCAUAUUCUGUGGCCAAAGUAAUCACAAGCCACAGAGAGGACAUGAACCCCACCUCUUGAUGUCAGAGAAGCUGGUCACAUUGCAAAAGGACAUAGGAGAUGGGAGAUAUUGUUGCAGUCACCUCUAGAAACUCACAGAAACUAUGAAAGGCAUUUUACAUAAUUAUAUAAUUUAAUUAUCAUAGUAUCCCAAGUUAGAUAGUCAGCAUUAUCUGAAAUUUAAAGUAAAAGAAAACUGAACAGUGGGAAGUUCACUGAUUUGCUCAAGAUCACAUUGUGGACAUCUGGUGUUCCUGAGAGCCAGGUGAAUGUAAAACUCACUCCAGAGUUCAUGCUCUAACUGAUAUAUCUUCCUCAUGGCCAGGGGAGUCUCAAUAAAUCAAGUGAUGUGGGACUGAGGCAAUAACUCAAAAAUCAAAGGGACUAGAAAGGGGAGAUGAGUAUGAAAAGAAAAAGAAAAUCAGUAGAGGCUAUGGUACAGUGAUG